GACGAACGCUGGCGGCGUGCUUAACACAUGCAAGUCGAACGGAAAGGCCCUGCUUGCCGGGUACUCGAGUGGCGAACGGGUGAGUAACACGUGGGUGAUCUGCCCUGCACUUCGGGAUAAGCUUGGGAAACUGGGUCUAAUACCGGAUAGGAACCAUCUUUAGUGUGGUGGUUGGAAAGUUUUUUCGGUGUAGGAUGAGCUCGCGGCCUAUCAGCUUGUUGGUGGGGUAAUGGCCUACCAAGGCGGCGACGGGUAGCCGGCCUGAGAGGGUGUACGGCCACAUUGGGACUGAGAUACGGCCCAGACUCCUACGGGAGGCAGCAGUGGGGAAUAUUGCACAAUGGGCGCAAGCCUGAGGCAGCGACGCCGCGUGGGGGAUGAAGGCCUUCGGGUUGUAAACUCCUUUCGCUAGGGACGAAGCUUUGUUGUGACGGUACCUAGAUAAGAAGCACCGGCUAACUACGUG
rnacentral:rRNA from 1 species